CGCUUUGGGGACCAGACGCUCCCGUUUUGUCCGGUAGACGCGAGCCGGCAUUUUCAAAUCCUCGCCCUGAUGCCGCCGGCUGUUCGUGAGCCACCGCAGUUAAUACUAGUCUAUUAUAAAUAUGUAAUUUGCGUCAGACAAUACCGCUAAUCCUCCGCUGCUGCACUCGCAUCAGUGCGAGUCCCCCUUCGCUCAAGUAAUGAAAUUCGUUGGCGUUCAACCAGAAGUGUGCCACAAGAUGGCUGCUCGCAGUGCAGUCAACUGAUUAGCCCACAAAUUUUUAGUGCUUCUCGCGACUAACUUCAUUGUUUUCCACGUAGUGAGCACUGUGAACCUAUAGAGUCUCGAAUGAAUUUCGCACUCCAUUUUGUUGGCGCUGAAGUCCCCGAAACUUGCCGCUUUGUCAAAGUGGCUUAUAUAAAGCCGUCUGUCAUUUCAGCGGCGCUAUGACCUACUAAGGUAUCCUCAAUUCUACGUUGUGCGCAGCCCUAUAUCAAAAAGCAUCGGUGUUACAUCUCUGCUGUUUACUAGUUUCUCUAGCAGAGUUAUUUCCACGAUUGUGCGUGGGGGCAUCUGAGCACGUCGCGAGCCUUGCGCACUGUACGGCGGCCACGUUGCUCACAAAGAACCGUACCGCGCAGCGUGAAUGUAACCACGCUAAUUUAUGUCUGCACCCAUGGCAGUGCUGUCGAAAAAGAACAUUCGUCGCCUGUACGUUUCCGCUACAACAUACUCUUUGUAGUUUGCCAUCUAGUCCGCGGUUCAGGCCGGUGUUCAGUGCUUGCGGUGAGCGGAUAUGUGACUGUUUGCUGUAGCUAUAUAAGAGUCUGCACGAGUUGUACUAGCGCCGGCAUUAGCAGCGUAUUCUGGCGAUAGUAGUGGCGAGCGGUUGCACCCAUGUGUGCGCGCACUCUUCGGACGACUCACAGGGGCACCAACGUGCCCAGCAGUCAAUGGGAGUGUCGCCUCUGAGCCACUUCCGGCUCCCGAGUUCUUAUCGCAACCCCAGGCAGUGCCCCACUCCAUCCCUCCGGCGUUUUCUCCAGGAGCCUAUCUAGCGGAUGCCGGCUGCUGCUUCUCGUCCUCUUGGCACAGCUCUGCCAGCGUUCCGUUUUUCCUCUACGUUCUCGGGGAAGUUAUUCAUGACCCUGGUAUUUGCAGAAGCAGCAGUUAUGUCGACUGUACUAUAGGCUAUGAGUGACAGUGAAUACCUGUCGGGUUUUUGUUACUUGGUGCCUGUGCGCUUGCUCGCUGCGUUGGUCGGCACCAGCUGGCCUGCGAUUUUCUGCCUUCUUGGCGCCCAACCGACGCUCACGACCUCGGAGCGGGACCGUUUCUCGGGUAAUACGUGCGUCGCACGCCGUCUUGCCCUACUACGCAGCGAGCGGCCUGGUUUUUUCCAGAGCUUCGCGAGACCGAGGUCGCCCGGCCGGCCAGCGCCGAAAUGGUUCUCGUUGCGGCGGGCGCUUCUUGGAACGGGCAAGCAAUGUCUCGUCGUCGCCGCUCGUGAUGCGCUAACCCAAUUAACCGGCCCGUUCGAUUAGACGAGCGGGCCUGCGCUUGAUUGCCAGGCGCUUUGUCGAAGAGCGCCUGUUCACGACGGCAGCAGUCUUGCUUGAGUUUCAGAAACGGCCGGGAAAUCGCCUAUCCGAAUACCGUGUCAGCAACGCGUUGCCGACCGCAGCUGUUCGAGCGAGCGCCCUCGUAGCGAGGCGAGUCGCUUGCUUGAUAAUAGGCGACGCGCCGCACUUUUUUUCCUCGCACUGUUUAUCGCAGCCAAUCUUCUUGCUCCCUUAUCACCGCUGUACAUUUAUGUGGUGGUGGUGUUUUGCGAGAUAAAGCGUUGUUUAUCCAUCUCCCCGGUGCUUAUCUGUCGGGCUUGUUUCACGUUCGACGUCAUCGCGCAAAACAAUUGCUUCCUGCGCUUUCAGAGAUAAUCUUGGGACAGUAUUUUCAUCAAAAGUGUCAGAUGUUCCCGCGCCUUUGGAUGUUAUUAUUAGCUGCCCGUAUGCAAAUCGGCAGGCCGUUUUCGAGCGCUUACUCUCCUUGUGUUCGGACUGAUCGAAGCUCGCAUCUGAAUGUAACUGGCAGCUUUGAACGCAUGGGGUCUGGGAGCGCAUUCAUGUUCGGUAACCAGCUUUAGCCUGUUGAAUGCUUAUUUCGGUGUCCCCUUUCGUGCAGAAUUAGAGAAGACAGUUGGGCUAGUUGGUGCUUAUUACAGACUUGAGACAUCAUUAACUAGCGCGAAAAAUACAACGGACGAGAAGCAAGUUGAAGUGUAGCGUUCUGUUCUGGGGUGUGCUUCUUGCUGUCGUCCGUUUUUUUUUUCUUCUUUUUUUUUUUCGCUCUAGUUAAUGUCUCGACCCCUUUCGUGUUACUCGCAGCUGUGCGUUCGGCACACCUCCACCUUUAUCCGUCCCCCUGCCCUGAUGGGUCCACUUCCUGGAGGCGGAAAUGUUUUAAUUAUUUUAAUACACUUGUUAACAAAUCGCUUGCUCAAUGUGUAUUGUUUCAUAGUUUCCACGUAGUUUUACCCGAAGGUGCGUCAUAAACAUUUUCACAAACAUCUGGGGCACCGAUAUAGGGUUCGCCGCAAGUUUUGCAGACAGAUCUCUGGACUUCUGCACGAUUUCUGGCAAGCGGAAAUGAUUUUAGCUGUGACUGGCAUCGGGUUCUGCAGUUGUAACGAGUUCUUUAAAGGGAGGUGAUUUACGAUUAUUGUAACUGUUCGUUUAGCACGUAUCGUUCACUCUCACGUCCGGUGUCGCGAACGUCUUGAAAAUAAAUCUCCGCGCAGCGCGGCCUCUUUUUUUUUUUUUAUCUUCUAAAACACGUUGUAGAUCUAAGCCAGACGACCAACUGUAUCAGGUAGCAAACCUAAUGUUUCGUUUUCGCAGUUCAGAUCGAAGCAGGCUUCCGCAUGAGUCAAUCGAAACGCGCUGGUCGGUUCAUGCUUCGUUCUUAUUACACGUAUACGCUGUAACCUAAUUGUCGCGCAAAAUACGUCUUCGUUUGGUUACCGCCACUUGCGGCGCUGUUGCGUCAGCCUAUAAUGAUUAGGGCCGCGACCGCUGUCGCUGACUGGAUUCGAGAGCGCGGCAUCGCUUUGACGAGCCGUGGCAAAGCCAGUCUUGGCUCCUCGAGUGUUUCGCCAUGCGUCGACAUCAAUGUAGUGCCUAUAAAUAAAGUCGACACUUCGUUUAAGGACUCCACGCGCUCGUCUUAUCCCCACUGUGUAAUGGAGGAAGCCAGCUCGAAGCGUUUUCUACCGCUGACCUGGCCUGUCCGGAACCGCUGGCGCGUUGCCUGCUUAUGCGAAUGAAAAGCUCGGUAAUCGUAGCAAAAAAAAAAGCCGCGUCGGGGCCCGAUCGAGCACAGCGCGAAAGAAGGCCGUGCGAAAGGGCCCGAGGGCAGUGUUCGGGUGGCGCGCGAGACCUUGGGUUCUCGAUUCCGAGAGCUUUUUGCCCAAAGGACUUGGCGGCUCCGAUCGGAGAUCUCGAAGUUCUGCGUGCGGAUACGCAGAGUUCGUAUCUAUAUGCGGUUGCUUUCCAAUGCUCGCGCGCGGUUCGUUUACCGAGCAGGUUUUUAUACCCUGGCGUUGCUGCAGGGCAGUUUUCGUGCCGGCGCUGCGGCUGGCUGCCUUCAAGGUGAAUUACACGGCGAGCCUGUCGCGCUUGCGGCCAGUUGCUCUGUUGCGACGGCAGCUCCGGAUGUAGCCGCUUUAUGGUGGCGCUUUUGGCGCCAGUGAUAAGUAGGCCUCUAGCGGCAGUUUUUGUCUUGAGGUUUUCGUUAUGCGAGUGCGACUGACAAUUAUCCGGUGGGGGGCUCUCUUGGCUCAAGUGGGAAAACGUGGGCUUCCGAGCGGGAGAGAAAUCGUGCGGAACAUUGCGUGUUUCUUGAGCCUGUGCCUGAAUGCUAUAGCUUAGUGCGUACGUUCAAUGUGACAGGUAUUUGUGAAAGUUGUUAUAACUUCAUUGGGGCGGGCAGAAUCGCGAGGGCCUGUUUUGCCUUCGUUAUGCUGGUUGCGUCACAAGCUGCGAGAUGUGCAUUCGAAAAACAAAAUCGUGGUAAAGCGUAUAGGUGCCGUCACGGGUUGCUUAGGAACGAAGUCCGGCCAGAUAGAGUGAGAUCUCCUUGCCGUGUCGUCACCGUCAUUAGUUUCUUGGCUAUUUGUCGCUGUCACAGCAACGUGGGGUGGCGAAAUCUUGGUUUCAGGUUCUCCAGUUUCCUCGGUCUCUGCUCGCCAAUUCGUAUCGCAACUGAGCGGCGCUGCUGAGCAGCUGUUGCAGCUCAGUUUUUUCUUGCACGCGAGCGGUAAUUCAGCCGUUGGCAGGUCCGCAGCCUCACACGGUCGUUCACCUCCCGACCCUCGGGCGAGAUGCCGGGCUUCGCCCUGCAUGCUCCCGAGGGAAGUGAUUGCUGUGCGCGCAGGUGCAUUCCUUCGUGCAGCAGCUUGUAUCCGUCUUUUUUUAUUUUUUUUUCUUCGAGACGUUUCUGCACUUCAAGCUAUUACUGUGCUGUAGCGGUAGUUUCGCAACCCUGCACACCACCUUUGAGAGGGAAAAUUCGUGGCGAUUCAUUUUUCUGCGAUAUACAUCGUAUUGUUUGUGUCUGUCCACUCCCCCCACGCCCCUUGCGGAAGGCAUUGAACGUACACUACGUAGCUCUCUGCGCACAUUCGUGCUGGCCUUAGGUGCUUCCCAAAGCGCUGUUACAAGCUUACGGUUUCAUGUUUCUCUUCAUUUGCUUUUUGCCACUGAAGCUUUUUCUCGCUUUCCAGUCGGUUAGAAAUCAUUUCCGUAUACGCACACUCCACUCUGUCGACAUUUUUCAUGCAGUAAGUCACGCGGAUCGCGCAUCUAGCUUGCAACUUACACUCGUUGCUUUCCGCAGGUUCCUUUGAUCUCGCGGCCAAUUCCCCAGCCGGGGCACGCGACCGCACUAUUUAUCAGACACGAAAGCAUUCGCCGUAUAGGCACUGAUUCAUCGGCGGAAGCCGCCUUCACUGUGCGUGUGUGCAGUGCCGAUUUUAAUUUUGUGUGUUGCACAGCGCCCUGCUGACUCGCAUUUACACUGCAAGAGGAGAGUCAGCUGGCAAGCCGCGGCGAUGUCAGUCGGACAUCCGGUUGGCGCAACGUCCCUGUGUUUGGCGGCAGCGCAAAUCUCUACGGCACUUCGGCGGCCGCGCCUUGAGUCUUUUUUUCAGCGACGCAUUUCCUGACAGCGUCUCAUUGUGUGCCGCGCUAACGAGACGAAAACGGUCUCGUAACCGGCGUGGUUUAGGUUUCCUUGUCGCCUGUGAUGCCGUGCUGCUGGCAAUGCCGCACGAAACUUUCCGACAUUUUGUUAACGGUCUGCGCGAGCCUCUCCGACGUUGCAAAUAUGCAGUAUAUACUGCACAUUUGCAACGUCGGAGAGGCUCGUUUGACUGGACCCGCGCGAUAUGAGAGAACGUUACAUUUCACCAGUUUUGUGGCCGUGACCAAUAAAGCCGUACAACACCACGUUGUUCGCGCAGGUAUAGUGCAGCCUGGCAGUCCUCUAAUUCCAGGUUGCGGAAAUAUUCGGAUGCCUGCGUCCGUUUACCACGAACGUGUGCAUCUCCAAUUUGCGUAUUCACAGUUCAACUCAAGACCGAAAGUGAACAUACUGCAACGAUUUCGCCCCGCUCGUGCCACUAUCCCUAUCCAUCUCUCUCGGCGAUGAAUCACUGAAACUUAAAAACGAUCGCGGGAAAAUUCGGAUUGGCGCAGAAAUGCAGAGGUUCCGCUGUUGCCUCCCAUUCUCAUGUAUACCACUCGGCUAUCCACAGUGGCUGCUUGCUCCUGCCAUAUCCCGCCUAUAUAGCAGCCAACUGCUCGGUUCGGAUGUGUACGCAGCCGCCGCCACGCGUUGUUUCCCCAGCUUGCAUGCGACGCGAGCGCGUUUUCGCACAGCUGUUUUUCGUGAUCGCGUGUCUGCUCGCGUUCUGUUUACGGGCGUGGUUAAACGCGGCUUCGUUGUUUUUCGAUUGUGUCCCGACCCCGACGGUGCAACGCACCUUUCGCGUAUGUGCGUAUAACGCGUGUGUACAGCUUGUGACAUGUGCGAAAUGCUGCGAGCUCUGGUUUCGCCGCCCGUUGCGCCUCGUUUGUCCUCGUCACGCCUAGAGGGACCCCCCCUCGACUGCCAAUCUCGAAUCGGACGUUGUUGCGCAUGCGUUCAUACCGUGGGAAACGCUUCUUGCGCAGUGAUACGCGCCUUGUUACGUAGUGAGCUAAUAAGGAAAGUUGAUGUUUUAGGCAACAAUCGUACUUGCAUACUGACAAGCGGUGGUUCACAUCUGGUUACCCUCGGGCCUUAUUGAAAGCUCGUUGGUGAUCGCGUUGCAACUGUUAAAAAUAACGCACCCAAGCAUCGUUGCGUACUCAAAACGCCACGCCAUGCUUGCGUUCUUUUGUGUAACUUUCCGCGUUUGUUUUUCGUUUCUUUCUUUUGUUUGUUUAUCCCGGCGGUCGGCGUCCCUUUGGGUGCGGAAAAUCUAAAACUCCAUAUUGACGACUUGCGCACGUUUAUACGGAUAGCACGCGUUCACCUUUCGGAGUGCUACUAUACUGUUGUGGUGUGCAUGUGGACAUUCUCGCCGUAACCCCCCAUUACUCCACCAGGAGCUGGCGUCAGCGUAGCGACGAGACCCUUUCCCACCGUAUAUACCUCCGCAUGAUCCCUUAUUACGGCGGGCCAGCGAUGGGUGCCUGCCUGCGCCUUCCAAGAAUUCCGGCUCACGUGACCCAGCAGGCGCGCUGCAACCCGUCCUGCAUGCUGCUGGCCCGUGCGUUCACGGGGGGAGGCUGGCUGGCUCGCUGGCAUGUCGAUCGUUCACGCGCGGCGCCCUGCAAGCAUGCAGGCACCAGAGCUGCGCGCAGCCUGCGGCAGAAGCGCGCACGCAGCACUUUCCACCGCGCUCGGCUCGCCUGUGAUGUGCGCGGCCCUGCGGUUCGCCGCGGAGCGCUCACGCCCUUAAUGGUUUGAGAAUUUGGUCGUCGCGGGGUUCCCAGGAUGACGCGGAUUCCCAGGAUGACGCCCACGACGCGCAGGGUACGACGGCCCUUGUAUAACGGCCGGCACAAUAAGGGGACGCGCGGGUUGGAUGUCGCACGAGGGCAGCGCCGCUUCUCUAUAACAUCGCCGGCCUGUGCUCGCAGACGUUCGCAGCUCUGGUCUGCUCAUUGUUUGAGGCAUUGUUGGUUUCCCAGGGUAUUUCAACUUCUCGUAGGGUUCGCGGUCUUGGGGUGUAAGCCUCGCUGUGCGCUCUCCUCUUUACAUUGUGUUCAGUUGCUAAGGGUCUUGUCGAGAAUCGUGCUUUUUCGAGGUUUGAGAUGCCUCUCACCUGUUCGGUUUAAUUCAGAAGACCCUCGAUCAGCGGGCAUGGCGUGUCGCGAGAACUUAAACGCAUCGCACAGCAUACGCCAUGUACCAAGGCACGCUAUGGGCGGCGCAGAACUUCGCGCCGUGCGAACAGGAAUUGCGGACUCUUUACCCCCUAUAUAUGUGCUUUCUUUACUGGCAGAGCUAACAUCUGCGGUGCCCGGCGUUCACUGUGAUCCCUGCAGAGCUUAUAACAAGCCGACACAAGUGCACGUCUUGUUUGGUGCACUGCGCGCGCAUACACACAUGUGAAACUCGCAGGCUGUAUAGUGGGCCAGGGGUAAGCGAAGGCACUGCGAACACCGGGGUGAGGAGGCAGAACGAUCCUCAGGAAAGAGGCGGGUAAGGGCACGACGCAUGCAGUGCGAGCCAUAAACUCGGCAGGGGAGGUCCGUAAAUCACCGGGACGUAAUCGCCGAGCUCGUGUGGCGCUCGCUCGCGGUUGGCUGGCGUUUUCAUUUUUGUGUGCGCUCCGUACAGUUUCGUUCCCAGCGUCAGUUUGCGGAGUCACGGCCGCGGAGCGUCUCUCUCGGCCAUUGCUGUGCACGGGCGCGUGGUGUCUUCCUGGGUUUCCGAGCUCCUCGCGAACCCCGACCGACGAGAAGAGCGAAGUGUCUGGUGGCGGCGGCCGCAGUCAGCGUCGCAGUGCGGGAGAUGCCCUCCCGCAAUUUGCAUCCUCUUUCUCGGUGUCGUGUUUCCGCAGCCUCCUUCCCCUCUGCCUCGCUGCUUAUUCUGGAUGAUCGCAUCGUUUUUGCGUUCUCGACGUCGUCGCGGCGGUUGCAUGUCUUCGCUGCGCGCGCGGAGUAGUGAGACGCAUUGCUCUUCCUCCCCUUCCUUUCUCUCGGCCUUCUAGGCGAACGCAAUUUGAAAAAUAGAAAGUAGAGAAUGGGGGGGAUGCUCGUCUUUCCCUCUCCUCCUCCUCCGUUCAAUCCCGCGUGUUCAAACUGCUGCAUACCCCCCUCCCCUUCCUCUCGCAUUCUGUCCCGGCUCGCGGCGGAUAUAACGGCCCGCGACUCUUUCUCGUCCUCUUGCUCCGCGGCGUCCUGCAGUGCUCGCUGCGUUGGCGGGGUGCAUCGCUUGUUUAAUCAUGAGCAGGGGCUAAGUGGAAGCGUCAUUUGCAUACGGAGGCUUCGCGAUGCAAAUGCACUCUCGCCUCUCCCUUCCCGUCGCUCUUCCGCUCUGCGGUGUGUACGCGGCGUGUGAAACGAGCGGCCAGACGAACGCUCGUCCCGGCGUUUGGUUUGCUCUCGAAUAUGGAUUGCGGAUGCGAUUUGUACCGCCGCGAUAUCUUUUCUAUCGCGAAUGCGUCGUAACGCUGCGCCGCGCAUUCUCUGUGGUAUACGUCUAAAGCGCCGGUUUGUCCUGACGUAAAACGUUGUCGACACUCUUCGGGAUCGCGUACUUUCCCGAGCUGCUGUUUUUUCUUUCUUUUUUUUUUUUUCGAGACACCGUGAAGUGUUAUGCAUACAAUAUCGCUUAUUUACACAGUGGGCAGGCUCGAAACUUAUCUUCACGACGAGGCUGCGGAGAUAUUCCCCCUUUUGACAGAUCCCUUGGUGCGUAAACUUUUUUUUUUUUGGUCGAUAGUACAUUUUACGCAUUUCUACAGUGACUUGUUUAGGGCCCCUAUACAGCCACGUUACGUCUACCUCUCGUAAUUAAUCGCUACAUUGCCAACUCAUUAACACUGUAGCUUGGCGCUCUUUGGCCAUACUUGACCCUUACGCCGCAAAACGCCAAAUUCAUCAUCAUAGGCAGCACGCAGCCUGCGUGCUUCUGCUAGGCCGCAUUGGCACACCGCGGUGGUUGGACACCGCUUGGACACCGCGGGGUUCCCGACCAUCCCCCUUCGGCGAAGUUCCGGUGACCGGUCGUAACGGUGGAUGGGCGCAGGUCAUCGCCAGCGGGCAGGCCCGACUCGGACGCGGUGGUGGCACCUCGUGACCGUCCUGCCGCAGCGGUCGUAAAGAGCCCGGAUCUCUUCCUUCCGCCCCCGUCUUCGCGCUUGUGGUCGACGCCGGAUCGACCCUCCCACCCCGAGCAGCUAUGCACCGUCCUUUGGGAACGCAGCCCUCGUGGCUUGCUUUUACUUGUUGGUUCCUGCGUGUAGCUAGCCACUGAGCCUUAGCUUGCACGCUUUCUUUAAAUUCCUUUCCUGUGCUCAUAUACGCUUCCAGGUUGCACCGAUGAAUUUUUCAACUGUCUCGGACAGUGUCGGCCGGGCCAUUUGGCUUCUAUCCUCCGGACGUUGUUGCUAUUUCCGGUCGCCUUUUCCCCCCACCUGGUCGUUAUUUUCCUUCGUGCCAAGAAUUGUUCGCCCCUUUAUAUCUGUAUGAGCUGCAAAAGUAUGCGGAGGUGAACUGUCAUUCAUAAAAGUUUGACCUGUAUCUACACGGAAAACCGUUUGCGGGGUGACAGUUCUGCAGUAGCUUUUCAAUUCUUCACUGAGUUCUCACCUACUUCCUCUGCAACCAACGUGGCAGUUCAUCAGAAGUAUAAAUUGUCAUCCACCCGACUAUAACACGAAUCUACGGAGGAAACCCUCAUGGGUUUCUCGCAAAGCUUCGCAGUUUAAAAAUUAAUGAUCCGUGGAUUGUACUCGGGGCCACAACUCCGGUCGCGGCCCCAGUCGAGGCUCUGAGCUAAGGUAGUUUAAGAAAUGCUAAACCCAAUGCUAUAGCGAGCAAACCGAGCAAGGACCCGAAUUCAUUAGUUUUCGCAGCGAGUUGGUUCAUCGUACAGGGUGGGAACCAUUAGCAAAGUUAAUCAGAAACGAAAUGUAAAAGUGGACAGGAAAAAGGCAUCAUUUGUCCUAUCCACUAUUACAUCGCGUUUCUGAUUAAUUUUGCUGCACCAUCCCACCCUGUACUAAGCCUUACGUUGGGUAGUGCGAAUGUCCGCUACUGGCGACGAUAUUUUGACUGCGCUCAUUUUGUCUGAAAUCUUAGCUUCCGCCAGCUUUGGGUUCGCUGUACUUCUGAAACUCCCUAAUUAUUGGUACUCUGCGAACUUACCGCGUCAGACGUCAAGCACUACUGCUGGAUAGAUGCUAUAUUGUCAACUCAAGUCCGAUUCCAGAGUUAUUUGCUUUACCAGCGCUGGCAGAAAGCGGCACUUGUUCGAAUAUGAGCUUCGCGUAUGCGCUGACUUGCGAAGAAGCUCCGGCCGCUCCGGACCGACCGACCAGCCGACCGUCGCUGUUGGGGCGAGACUUGUGCGCUGGUCCUCCCUGGCACGGACCGGAAACAGGAAGAGCGCUGCUUCCGACGGGCGUGACGGCCCCGGCGUGGAAAUAGAAGCGGCGGCGAGGAGGAACGCCGGAAAAUGAGGGCGCGCAGGGGUGGUGGGAUAUGGCGCCGUGGGCCCUGCGCGGAUGCGGGUUCCUUCUUUUUCUUUCCUUUCGUCCGUUUUCAUUUGUGGGUUCGCCGUUGCUGUUUCAGUGUUUCGUUCAUGAAAUAACGCCUCUCUGGAAUAAAAAGAGAGAGAGAGAAAAAAAAAAAACGAAACUGCAUGAGCGCGUAGACGUGAACUGUUGGCUGCCCCCCCUCCUGGGGUAGGGUGCCUGUGCUAUGUGUUAGUUUUGUGACUUUUUUUCUUCUUCAUACCUUCUAUUAACGGCCUAGCGGACUUAACGAAGAUAACCACGAUACAUUUGUCUUCGAUGACGUGGUAUAGGAAGACCGCAGCAAACAGUUUUUUUUUUGUCUUUAGUUCCUUUACUUUCGGGCCUUUGUGCUCCAGAACAAGCGCACGUGUUCAGAAGCCAUUAACAGCCAUUGCUGUUCCUUUUUUUUUUUCCUGAUUAAAAAAAUUGUUUUUUUUUUUUUGUUUUUGUUUUUUGGCUUCGGCGUGGCUUCUCGACUGGCAGCUACGUGAUGAGAAUCUUCACCCCGCGUCACGUCUUCUCCCAGCGGCGAAUAGAUGCUGGGAGACACCGUAUAUAUACGUUCAUCUGAGACCUUGAUGUUGACCGACAACUGGGCUUAGCGCAGCUACUGCGAACGCCGCUUUUAUCGCGCGGUGGUAAUACGUGCGGAGGUCAUCUCUUCUUCCGAGCUUUCUUCAUUGCUGCUGUCGCCGCCAGCAGCGUCGAUUGCGCGACGGAAACGACGACCUCGGCAAGGUUCUUGUGCAUUUAUUUCCCGAACAGUCUAUCGUGGGAAGUAUCAGAAGCAACUGUAGGCAUUUCGGGGUUCGGCGAAGCGCUCGGGGAGCUUUGACAUUCAGGCGCCGUGUUUGGGAACGGACAAGCCGCAGCAAGAGAUGCGCGGCUCACCGAAGUUGCAGUUACAGGUACCCCGUGUAAUCGUAUAUGCAGGGCGAAGCCGCAGACUGUUUCGCGACGUGAAUAAUUUCUUCAUUAUACGUUUCGAACGCUUCCGCCAGCGGUAGCUGACUCGGAGUUAAUUCCGUUUCUGCUGUAUUUGCACCAUCGUGGUCCCGGUAAUUCACUGUUACUCAGCUAGUGCUACGCAAUUAGUGUUCGGGCCCUUAUCGUGAGGUUUACAACGCCAUUAUAUGUUCUAAAUAACGAAUCAAGCCAUGCAAGACAAGCCCGCCGAAGGAAAUAUUGGGAAAAAAAAAAAACUUGGGGAAACAUGGCAGACGCAACUGGCGUUGCAUACUCUAGAAACCGUUUAGGUUGUUUUAUACGCAAUAUCGUCCGUUAAUAUUUGGUAUACUUCUAAUCCCUGUUAGAUUUUGAUCAUUAACGCAGAAACAUUUCUCAACUCUCGCUUGAUGGUGCUGCGUGGAACAGGCCAGCCGACUUAUCUCUGUUAACUUAUGUGUGGAAAUAGAAGCGGCGAUGGAGCCUCCGCCAUCUUCGCUUGCCAGGAUCGUAUAUAGCUGACCGAGCAGUCCGUGACGGGGCCAGCAGCGCGGCAGCUGCAUCUCCUGCGGUGCGUGCGCUUCCGCGUUCUCCUCUCAGGCUUUCUUUUUUUUUUUUUUUUUCCUCGCCCUGUUUUUCUUUCCACCCAUGGCUUGGGCUGCUUGGGAGCACGUCGUCCAGCUGCUGCUGUGCCGCGUCAGUCUCUCGGAAGGUUUUUGUUUACGUGCGUAUAUGUGCGCCGGUGCCUGCAGGCGCUGGCGUCGGUUCUCCGGGGAACGCGCGCACGUCCGUGUUUCUAACGUAUGCGCCUGAGGGUUUUCUCGAGCUGGCUCCACGCACAUCGCGACUUUCCGGUGCGCCAUGUUUCUGCUAGAAGACUACCAAGAUACGAACCGCCAUAUUCGUUCGGUAACGCUCCGUAAUUGCUAAUUGAUGAUACUGGAGACGCGUAUGUAAGGAGGGGGGUUUUCGGUGUUGCGAAGAAAAAGUGGCCUUUAUGCGUGGAGCAAGAACUCUGUACCGCUGUUUCAAGGAAGCAUGACACUCUAGAGCUCUCAACCACGUUCCCAAAGUUCGUCUAAACUUCACGCGAUACUCCACCGCGAGCCACGCCAGGGCACGAAACACGGUCCGUUGGGACCGUAUAUAUAUAUUGUGUACUGUAUGCGGUCCGGGAUGCGAGUUCGGUGUCUCCCUGUCUACACGAUCCCACCUUAGCCUGUUUUGGCCCGUGGAGUCGUCGCUAGAAAUUAAAUUCCCAACACGCCCUUCCCGCUUAGCUGGUUCCGAAACACCGCGCGUGCGUUUUCUUUUCGGCAGUGUCGGCGUGGUGAACCGCGGCGCAGCCGUUGUCGCGCGCCAGUCGUCCAUAUCCCUGGCGCUUUCUGCUUCACGGGACUAUUGUGCGUCGCCGUGGUUGUGUCGGCGGCGUUGUGUGUAUUCCAGGGCGUGGCACCUUCCUUCUUCAUCUUGUACGUGGCUCCCUUGAUCCUGCCGCGGCGUCGGUGCAGAGUGAGGUCAAGCGACGCCGAUGCGAGACACGGACGCUGCUUCGGAUGAGGGACGUUCGUAGGCGUCGGGCGGGCUCCUAUCGCGGCGUACACGCAUUCAUAAUGCGGCAUUAAAUCUUGCCUUAUUAGUUAUUAGGGACACAGUUAGCCUCCGCUCUGAGGCGUGAAUGCAAGCUCGAGUCCCGCCCUUUACAUCGCGCGCAGCUCUCGGAAGUCUACGACCCGUUGUGUGUCGUUCUCUGGGAGAACGUUCGGGCUGGCGAAGUGAGCGAGCCUCUUUGUUCAUGGAGUACCUCGGGAAGCGACUGGAACAUUUGCGAGAACAUUCUAGGGCCUGUUGUUAUCGCGUAAAUAUUUCGAUACCCACUUCGGUUCUGCGUUGAUUACGUGGUAAAUACGCCGCUAGUGCGAAUCGUUUAUGCAUUACCCAUGUAUACGCUAUAUUUUAUGUACUCGCUGUCAUAGUUCUAAACUCGCGUGCCUCGUGUUUCAGCCUCGCGAUAAUAGCUAUGGCCUGAAUUUUUUUUUUUCGGAGUAAACUGCCUGGACUAGACGGCAUCGUACGCGUUUUCAGUGGGACUGAAUUCGAGUGCCGUUAACCCGGAUUGUGAUGAAGUGGCUGAGCAAAUUGUUACCUUGUUGCUCCCCGUCUUCAACAUCACCAACCCGUGGCAUUCCAUUGAUGAGGCGUUCCUAUUGUGAGCGAAAUAAAACGAGAUAUACACAGAUAAACACGCCAGUGAGUUGCCUGGGACACACUGUACUUCUUUGCAAGCAUCUCGUGGUCGAUCUAUAUAUAGCACGUAAGUGCAACUAGGAUCAUCGGUGGCUGCCGUCUGUCCGGUUGAGAAACAAAAACGUUUUGUUCUCGGUUCACCAGCAUCAUUGCGUAUUUCUUAGCUGUUAAUGCAGCCAUUGCUAAUCUUGCGACACUGCUACCACGGCGUCUUGUUGCAUGUACAUGGCUGGCCACACUUGAAUGUGCGUUCGCGUUGGAAUGUCUAUACAUCACUCAGCGUGUUGAAUUCUGGGGAAUUUUCUUAAUUCAUUUUACGCAUAUCGUGACAAAGACCUCUUAGUCGCUUUCAGUAUACCAAAGUCGUCCAUCAUCGCUUCUUCUCAUCUUCCCCGCAAAGUCGGUCUUCGAACGCCAACGUGUAAAGAAACGCGGUGGGGAUUCUUGGCUCUAUAGCCCGGGGCUUCGCGUGGUUCUCCUCCUCUGUACGACGCAAUUCAUUUCCAGCGCCAAUUCAUUUCGUGGCUAGCUUCGUGCUAAUCUAAGCACCUUGACUAUACCCCCCCCCCCCCCCCUCAUUCUCUUUCAGCACCACCUCCUUAUGCACAGCGCCCGGGGCACGAGCGUUUUCGUGCCGCGCACGUAUCAGCCGCGGCCCCCAGAAAGCUCCGUCGACGAAGCGAUGCCGAAAACGAAGUCGCCACUGCGCUGGGAUCCCCAAAUCAAAUUACGGGGCCAACCGCAGCCGUAUAAGCGCCGCGCGCUCGCGUUCUCCCCCCAUCUCGCACCACUCGCUCAACCGACGACGCCUACUUGCGUAUGCUCAGCCGCGGUUCGUCUCAUCAUCCCACCGUUGCUCGCGUUAUAUAGCUUUUCGCGUACGGAAGGCAGGUAAGAAAAGAGUGCGCAGAAACCGUCGUCGCCUAGCUGCGCGCGCGCGUUAUCUCGUUUGCCCGACGCCCGCGCGCUCCCCAUUUAUAAUUCACGCCUUGGCUCGAGCCUUGCCUGCUGCAUGCCGCGGGAGUUUAGCCGAGAACUUAUUUUUCUCUCCUGCAGCGUUCCUGCUCGUUUUUGAGGCGAAUAUCUGGGUGGCUUUCCCCGAAAUUAUGCACUUUAGUGCUGCUGCUGCUGUUCUGCGCAUGUUCUCUGAAGUCAAAUCUGCCAGCCGCCUCGUUAGGGCAGCACGGAGCUUUCACCUGUGCUCGGGACCUUCGUUUGAAUUACCGCCGGAGAAUUUUGGGGCGACGCAAACUUUCAACUUGCCAAAUAAAACCACGGUGCGCGGCGCGGAAACACGUUUAUUUAAUGGUAUCUUCUUGCGAAAUAACGGACUUCCAGUCAUUGCUAAAUGUAACCACAGUGUAGUAAAUCUCUAGUUUGCAGGAGUCGCUGGCGAGUGUAGGGGCCCUAACGUAACUUCCGGCAAAUAUAUUGUUAAAAUGUGAUGGCCGAGAGAAUGCCUUCACUAUCUAGAACUUUGUAUACGCCACGUAUAGUACUACAGGGAGCUUCAACCAAUCGCCGUUGCAAUAGGUAUACCAUCACGCUUGAUGUGACCUGCAUAUACCUUUGGCGCGUAUAGUGGACCGCGUCAUUGCUGUAAACAGUGGGAACUCGCGUAGCGUGUAUAUACAUCUGUUCUUUCCAAUGUGCGCACCGCGUUCCGUGUGAACGAGUACGCCUCGCGUUCAACCGAAGGGACUCCAUCUGCAUGAAUGGCGCAGUCGGCCGCUGCUCUGCACGACCGUAUACACAGUGCCGCACUUCCUUCAAUGGAGAGACCUGAAAGGACGCGAUAGCACUGCCGUGCGUGCACCGCCAUAAGACCCGCACGGUCAGUGUGUGCGUAGAGCGCGACGUGAAUUUACGUUCACGUCCGUCGUCAUUAUAACCCGCUUGUCUUGCUUUCACGUGUGCUUUUUUUUUUUCUCUCUCUCUCUCUCGGACCGCGCGCUUCAGUGCGCGUAGUCCCUUUGUCUUAAAGGGGCCCCCUCGCUACAGCGGUUGCCACUUUUCUCUCCGGCCGCUUUAAUGGCCCUAAUAAGCGACGGUGCAUUCUUAUUGUCUUUCUUGAAUGGGUCCAAGGAGAUGGCCGCCGAAGGUGGGAGGAGGAGGAAAGGUUAAUCUUGAUCGUGUCGCUCCCCUCUGCCCCGUUCUCCUUGAACCGUGUCAGCUGGGGAUGUCAUUUCGUCUUCUGCGUUUCAGACGUUCUUUUCUUUCGUUUCCUUCGCGCCUUUCAUCUUCUUGAUUUUCCCUAAUCUUCCAUCUCCCCCCGCUCCGUUUCUCCUCUCUCCCGCCAUUCUUGUUCUCCGAAAACGCGGCGUAAUUCGACUAGCAAUUCUUCGCGAGCCCUACUCCACGGAUGACGACGCAGCUCUGCGCUUCAACCCUCAGCCCAUCCUCUGCCUUCCCCUCUCCCUUAGCGUGCGCCAUCUCCCAUCUGGCGUCGCGGAGCCCAUUGUUUUGCGCUCUCCUCCGUGCAUGCGCGCGCGGCCGCGCUCGUUAGAAAUUAGUGCUACGAACUCCUCGCUCGUUCGUCUAAAGGCUGGGGCCUGGAAACUGAGCGCGGCGCUUACAGUACGGGAGAGGAUGACAUGGGAGGGGGGGGUUACUGCCUAGCAGCAUUGUCUUCGUUCCGCGCCGUUGCUCGUCCUUCCAUGCUUUCUUCCGUGCGUGUACGUGUGUGUGCACUUUCUCUCCAUCAUCUCUGCACGGUGUUGGUGAAAGCCUGCUUCUCUCGUGCCUCGCAGCUGGGCGCUUCCCUUCCGUGCCCUGCUGGUCCUUGGCGUGCGUGCGUGUGAACGGACGUCGUGCUUGCGGCGGCGUUCGUUCACUGGCGUGCUCGUCUUGGAGAUCGUUUUCUCGGCCAUGCGAAGAAACACUUGUUCAGUUUGUUUGUUUCUUGCAGGCCGGCAUUUCUCCCCCUCUCCGUCUCACUCGUGUUCAUUCUUGCGUUUCGAGGACUGUGUACGCCUCUGCGUGAUGACACCGGAGGAAUAGUGGUGUAGCCUUGCUGCGUACGGGCAGACGUAAUAGCGAGACCUCGCUUUUCUUUCUUUUUUUUUUUUUCGCAUCGCUGUUCGUGCAAGAAGGGACGUCCCACUCACGGGUGCCGGCGAGCGACACCGCUGGCUUUGUUUGUUUGUUUUGCUCUGUCCCGCGCCUCCUUGCGCCCGUCAGUAGUUCGCGAAUCGUCGAUGCCGUCUGCAGCGAUGUGUAUCAGCGUCGCCUUUCCGAAAACGGACGCGCAGCGCACUAUACGCAUCGUUGUGUAGUCGGUUCUUUUCCUUGCUCGGGGAUGUAAUGGUAUUCCGUCGGUGAAUGGUCGCCAGGUAUACGCUUAUACUCGGCGUUCCACGCUAAUGGUGCCGCAAGGUGUACGAGAGUAUAUAGUGCCGUGGAGCAAUGUGUACACUUCCUUGUCUUUUCUUUCGGGGCCGUUUUCUGUGUUUCUACGGUGUUUCAUUGCACUGUAGUGCACUUCCAGUUUGUUUAGCCAUAAAGUACUGGGAGGUAAACGUAAAUGGAAGACCUAGUUGUGAUCAGGCAGGGACAACAGGCCAUGACAUACGCUUUUGCUGAUAAACCACAACUUCCAUUCACGUAGCUUGCCUUGUAACACAGUCCUAUGCACGACGCUGUUUCUUCCGCGCGCGCGCCUCAUUUUUUCAGCAGCUUCUUUCACGCAACUUUACCCUUUCUUCGAUGCAAAAAGAUACACGACCUCGCCGAGAUCGGUUCCAAGGCACCAUUACCGUUGCACAUCGGUUUGGCGAAACUCUGGCAUGAGUUGUGCUUUCUCGGGGGGCGCGGACGGCUCGGGAUGACGGAGGAGCAAGGUUAGGAGAGAUGCUGCGGCGGUCUCGGGCGCCGCCGCCUCCGCAUCUCUCUCCUCCGCACUCGCGGACUCGCGCGCGCUCCCCGUUGCGUCACUACCAGAAAUACGUGCUGCGUUUGAGGAGGAGACGCCCGUUUGCGCGUGUACGCUCUCUCUCUCCACUCGUGGGUCGAAGGAGCUGAGUCACGCGGAUCGCAGCAUCAUUGCGGAACUGCGGCGCCUACGAGACGCUUAUGGGGGGAAGGCUGGAAAUUUAUUAAUGCUGCUCUUUGCUCAAAGUCGGCGCGGCGGCCGGCUUCUUCGCCGUUGCGCAGCUAGCGCGGCGCGUGUAGUCAGUUGCUUGUGCUAUAGGAUCGUCUCCCGGAAGGAAGAGCGUGUUUUUCUGUCUCUCGCGGAGCCUCUUUCGUUGUUCUCUAUGUACCCGUACGUGCUCACUCGUAAAAAAGCGUGCCCUCGCUCCCCCCCCCCCCCCCCCCCUCUCCCUAUUUCCACUAGGGCCGCGCGCGCGCCGGACCUCCCACUACGAGCGGCGAAUUGCUCAAUGCAGCGCCUUUGUUGACGUCUUCUCUGGCGAGUUCGGACUCGUCGUUCGCCGAAAGGGAACGCCCUGCAACUUUUUUUGGGGGGUUGCUGUUGUUGCUAGGGUUGCUAUGGGGGCGAAGCUGCGCGCGCGCGCGCGCCUGUGAGUGUCAAGUUGCCUGAUUAGUCGGCGCGUUUCUGCGUGCGCUUGUUUAUAUUUCAGAGGCGCUUGCACACUCGCCGUAAUAGUCAGGAAGUGGAGCAAGAACGUUGAUCCGGAGCAGAAUCCAGGAGAGAAGGCAUUAAGUAAAAGUACACGCGCUUUGGCUGGCAGUCCGGUAUUUUGUAUGCUGAGACUUCGGGCCCAUACUUAUUGCGAAACGGCGUUCAUUAAUGGAAUGCAAGAUCAAUCUUGUUCUUUCGUCGUCGCCCUUUUCUCCGCCGUUUUUCGCUUGAUGUGCGCUAAAUCAUGAGACUGUCGUACGCGAUAAUCGGUGCAUCUGCGUCUGGUUCGUAACCUCCCUAGUUUAAUCUCUCGUGCCGACUUUCGCCAUAGCGAAUGCGAGCUCUAGAGCUCUCGAAUCGCGCAACCACAUAGCGACACAGCUUGUCGUUUCGAAGCCCUUCGCGGAAAUGGCAUGAGAAGAGGCGUAGGCCGGUCUCGGUCCGUCUUUGGCGCAGCACCGUCUUUCCAAAUAUACGCCCCUUUUUUUCCCCCUCGAUGGCCCGGCAUCUUCCGGGGCGCCAGGUGCAACCGACAACAGCCGCGCCGGAAGCGACGCCGAAAAGAGGAGAGAAAAAAUAGCACGUUCCGUAGGAUCGAGGAGGGUUGGCGACCAAGUCGUCGUGAGGGUUGCGCGGGUGUACGUACGUGCAAGAUCUCGCGGCUUGAUGAAGGCGGCACGGAACGCUCACGCCGUACACUACCCCACGAGCCACGACGCGCGGUGCCUGUAUUUGGCAACAAAGGUUGGGAUCGUUUCAAACACGGUCUGCACCCCGGCUCGCUAUAACUCUGUGCAUUGCUGCGAAAGCUGCGGUUGUGUGUCGACCAAUGGGGCACGUUAACUGGCUUCCGGUCCGAAAACUGAGGGCUUGCCCAUUCGUUGUACUCCACUAAUCGAUCCAUGGUUUUCGUUUAGCGUAGGUAAUCAAGCGACUGCGCAGUGGUCGAGCCCUUCUGGCUGUCGUACCUAGGUUAACGCAGCCCGUUAACGCAGCGUAGCUUUGGCUACGCUGCACGCAGUUCUUGAGAAGCCCUUGUGACCGCUCUCUCCGCUGCCGCGAACUUUGUCCAGCAUUCCUCCGAGCUGACUGGCAGAUUCUGGUUUGCUUUGGUAUUUCGGUGCCCGAUGUUAAUCGAGGCGUAGCACUACAGAAGCUUGAACGAUGGCAACGAAAUGUUGACUGUGUUACGCAUCGUGUUUCCCCGUAGAUUUGAUACGUACACGCGUCACAUUACGGCUUACUUCGCAACGUUGCACAUACCUCGGACAUAGGUCGCGGGGCAGAUCUCUGCGAGCGAUGUACCAGACAUCAAAACUGCAGGCGCGCGCCCGUGCUGCUAUACUGCAUUGACGAGCUGUUCUAUACUACAUCGUAGAACUGGUAUACGCCUAGGAGUAUUGUUCGAAGAUCCACGCUUUCAUGGGUCUUAGUCAUAAGCGUCAACGGCUUCAAAAUAUACUGCUUUAUAGCUUUCCUUGUAAAUAUGCUGUGGCGAGAAACGCCGACGUUCAGUUCGACACAAGGUUGGACGACACGAGCGCCGAGGGCAAGAUGCCAUUGUCGGCUUCAGCGGCAAUUGCAAGUAUAUAGGAUACACUUGCACGAUCCGGAGACAUCACAAAUCAAUGAACGCAUCCAAUUAGCUCGGUCGGUCGUUUGUCCUCAAGUCGAGGCACGAAUUUCGCAGUAAUUGAACUCCGUGGCCUUGGAAGACUCAAUGGACCAGCGCUUUUGUUUUCGCGGCGUGUCCGUUCGUCCCGUGGGCGGCCCAGGGUCGUAGGGUCUGCGCGUCAGUACUCCGACGCAGGUAGUUGCGACGGUGCCUCCUAAUGGCCGGUGGUGUGGCCUCGGUGACAGGACAGGACAGGGCAACAGAUUGCGGCGAUUAUGGGUCGACAACGGACGUCCACUUCCGGCGGUUAACGAAGGGAACGUUGCUGCUUGAGGAGGAACAACUGCGCCUCCUCCCAAAGUUUCUCUCGCAUGACGGUCGGCCUCAAGCGAGUGUAUAUACCCGUCGCUUGAGCGGAAGACUUAUGCGUGCGUGUGUGUGCGGCUCCUUCCACUCGCGAGGCGAGGUUGAGCACAGCGUGAAGAGAGACAAAAGGUCGCCUUGAAAGAAAAAAGCCUUUUCCCCCUUGGCCCCCGCGUAUUAUGCAAGCAAGCGCAGGUGUCUUUUUCUUCCUCGCGAAACGGCUGGCGAAGCAGAAGGCGGGCUUUUGCAGGUUCCUCGUGCGCGACGAUUUGACUCGCCCGCUCGCUUUGGCCGGCGCGUUGCCACACUCGCGCCCGCCCGCGCGAUUGGUCGGCGACGGCUGGCUUUUCUCGGAGCCGACGACAGCGGCGGCAGGUGUUUCGGUUUCCUCCUCCCGUUCACCUGUGGGGUCCCCCCCACUUCCUUGAUUAUCAUUACGGCGUUCAGCGUGGCCCUUGCGUCUCCACGCGCUUCACUGCUGCCCCCUCUCAUCCUCUCUCUCGUAAAAGAACCCAUGGCCGUUUUCGCGCGGAAAGUAUCGGCGCAUCGCGUGGCAGCGGGGGCAGGAAGCGCGUUGUUUGAUGGCUGAAACUCUGGCUUCGCACGCGAGGUGCGUUUGUAACGCUCUUAACUGAUGGUUCGAAGCUUUGGUGGAGCUCCCCAGCUUACGCCCACUAUAAUGUAGCCAAACCGGUGCGCUGCUGCGUAUACUGGUACGCUUGGUUCUGUGCCAAUGUAUUUUAAAUCGUCGAGCAACAGACCCGCGUUAAUUGGUUCGUGGCAAGCUAUGAAGUAGAAAUUUCUAGCAGCCAUACUUCAUAAUAGCGUUUGCGAAAAGGUUCGUAAAGAUCUCAGUCUUGUGCAGCACACACUAGGUGGCAGUGUGCUGCCUGGUGCAAAAAAAAAAAAAAAAAAAAAAAAGCGCCUCCGCUCUGUACGCCAGCGUAUGCGACGACGUACGUAUACACCCAUCAGGAGGGGGAACGUCGCGUACCUCCUGCCCGAAACGACAGUCUCACUCUGACGCUCUGAAUCGGGUGUUCGCGCACCUCGCGGUCGCUAGCCCCCAACGGUGCCAUUUCCAGGAUGGGAGCUUCGCGCGGGGUGACACGCACCGCGAAGCAGCACCCGCGCCUUGCGCUGCCCAAAAAUACCUUGCGCGUGGCGGUGGCGGCCGCCAGGUCGGGAGCUCGGCCCGCUACAGGGAUGCGAGCAUCGACCGGGGUCCCCCCCUUCCCUCCCCUGCUACGUUUUCCCAGGCCAGCAGCAGCGAGGGCGCUCUCUCACGAGUCUGACGCUUUCGGGGAAAAACCCGGAGAAUGGCCGCAGAUGCCGCGGCUAGCUCCACGUGGCGCUUCUUUUGCCCGCCGGCGCACACUGCUUCGCACGAUCGAAAGCCUAAUUUCGUGAGGCAAUAUGCGCUCCGCAUUAAGCUCGUAGGCCAGCUUGUUCAAAUGUUCAUUUCUCAGUUCGUUAAGUCUGGCAUCUGCCUUUGUUGCGCUCUUUUCUGCAACUUAGGUCGAAACUAUUUCACGCUCUGAGCGCCUGUCGCAACCUUCGUGCAAGCGCUUCCUGUCGCUUGCGAUGGUCAGUUCAGUGUCGUCCGUUGAAAACCGAAUUGAGGGUUGUUUGAGAGCCACUGCUUCGCGCCUGCAGUCGAGUCACUUCGUUAGCGACGUAUAGUAACGUGCGUCCCCUUUCGCUGGCGCUGAAGUUGUCGCGGCGCUUGCCGCCCAUUCAUGUGUACACGCGUCAGAAGUCCGCUCUGCGCCGUCGAAGCCCGGAGGGCAUUCUUUUUGUCUCAUCGUCGUCGUCGAGCGCCCUCCCUCCCACGUUUCAGCGCGCGUUGGCGCGUCCGUGCUCGCAUGCGCGCGCGUCGUGUCGCUCCGGAGCGCGGCAUGCGAAGCCACCGGCGCGGAAUGCCGCUUCCCGUGCGCGCCUUUUGUUGUCGGCCUCCUCUUCCUAUUGUCCGGCCAAUGCCGGAGGCCUUGGACGCGCCAUUGUCGGGACCCGAUGCGCCGCGCGACGGUUAUGGCGUGAGGCGCGCUGUUGCGUGCGUCACUGCGGUGGUGUGGCAUUGCGCGGAGGUCGUGUUGCCACGCGAGUGCGAGCUGUCCACAGCAGGCGCUGCUGGUGUUGUUUGUUGGCAGGGGUGUGAAAUUCACGGCUAGGGUCGCGCGUAUAAUUUACAGGCACGGCUCGUAAGAGUACCGAACGUUGGCGUGAGUUGCCUUCGUUUUGCUAUUGAAGUCGCCUUGAAAACUGUUCUGGCGAUUGCAUGAGCUCGAUUUUUAGUACUAAUCGCGCUAGUUGCCGUCCAUUAACGCAGCUAUACGCGCCGCUCUGUCGCCUACAGUAUAGGCGGCUGCAGCAGCACUGCGUGUAUACGCACUUGGCGUAUGCGUUCAUCACUCAUUUUCGCAGCACCCCACCGACCGGUGAUCAUAACUAUAUCUCGCGUCGAUGGCUAAUUCGUUACCCUCCCUAAUCUUUGACGCACACACAUUUAUUAAGCGCUCGGCCGGGUGCAGGGAUGUAUGGCGGCAUCCCUCAUCUUGCUGCUUCUGCCGGCUGCACACUGUUCUUGCUGCUGGCGAUAGCACGCAGUUUGUCCAAAGUGUUUGCACGAGGCACCCGCGCCACCGCGUAGGCGUGCUCCCCUAUAUAGGCGGCUGUUGUGAAUACGCGUGCGCAUUAAGGCUAACGCGAAAAGCUUGCGGCCGCAGCAGCGGUACCGACCGGCGCCGCUAGUCGUUGGCAAGGCUGUGUCGUUCGGGGGACCCGUAAUGACGACCCAUUAGGCGGUCGCAGGGACGCCCUGAGCGUGCCGCGUUUUCGAGCCUAUAGGCCGCGGAUGUUCGUGGCGGGGCUUAAUCUCAAAUUCGUCUUCGCCAUUGUCUCGACGUGCAGCGAAUGCGCGAGAGGUAUGGGUAGGCUCGUGAGCUUAUUUGUACAACUGUCAAGUGAUUGAGCGGUUAUCGAGGGCCGCGUCAUGGAGCGAGGAUGGUUUUGAGCCAUGGUUUACCGCUAGAGCGCGCGCAAUCCUACCAUCGCUCAUCCGCCACGCAAGGAUAUGUAAGGCAACACGUUGUAGCUGCUCGUUUGUGGCACCUUAAUUUGCAAUUUGUUAAUAAAAAAGAAACAGCUUGUGUCUUGAGGCUGUUGUAACGCGCGAGAAGGUGCGGCACAUUGCUGACAUUGACGACGCUUUGUACCGCUACGUCCCUUGCAUAUCAAUGAUGUGAGUUCGCGCAAGUACGAAAAGAAUAAGAGGCAGUCCGCGUUUGUGCGAAUAGGCCCCUCGGUCGUUUAUCAAAGUGGCGCCAAGGUGUACCGCGUUGUACUGCUGCGGAGGCGUUUUGCGAUUUGUUGCGUGGGUUGCGCACCGAGUCGGUCCUAUAAGUUAUAAGCUGUUAUUUUUUCAUUUUCAUUCGCUCUCCAGUAUGUAUGGUUUGUUCUGGCGGCUUCGUACGCGUAGAAUGCGUGGACUUAGUAGCGUCGUUGUCAAUUUCUCGUGAACAGGGUUCGACCAUCCUAUCCAUUUCUAAGGCGCUUGAUGUAAGGAGAAAACUGGACUAGUGGUUACAUCGUUCUCCGAUUCUGAUAAUAGAAACCAGUUCCUCAGGAAUGUGUGCCGAAAGUGAUCGCUUAAUAGCCCGAGAGACUUGGACGAGCACUGCCGGAUGUGUAUUCGGCCCAUGCUUUCUUUGUCCCUCAGAGGUCCUCAAAACGCUCGACUUCGCCUGCAACCAGCUUCGUGCACGUUUUAAGUUGCUUCCAUUUCCACACAUUUAGGCUGCCGUAAUUCUGUGGCAAGGGCGUCCUGUAGUGACUCUUCGUUCGCCUUGACCAACGCCAUAUACCGUAUUCGGUUUGCCCAUGUGGCACGAUUCUCUGUCACACGUGCCGAUUUGCUUGUGUCCCCCUGUAUAAAUGCGCAACGGACCGCAAAUUAGUGUUUUUCGUGCGGGUCCCUUACUUUGUCGCUCGCGUGCGUCAAACUCGUCAAUCACGUGACAUCACGUGGCCUUGACUGCCGCGAGAGCCACGGAAUUCCUUCGGGAGGGCCUUUCGUACUUCACCACCCGGGAAUUAUUUAAUCUUCUCCGGUGGGACCGUGCGGUAUGCGUGUAUGUUUGUGGCUGAAGUGCGCAACUCUUGGACGACAGUCACCAAGCCGCGGGCGUCGGGUGGUGUGCGCGUCUUGCUGACGGGGGCGUAAUGGGCCCCUCUUCUCAGACGAUGAGGGGGAAAGCCAGCGAGGAUCGACGAGGCGACUGUCGAGGUUGGAAGGUCGCGCGCAAUCGCGGCGCGCACGCUGGUAAAUGCGCGCACUUAAGCGAUCGCGCGGAGGCCUUUUGUCUCCGUGCGCGGGCGCGCGCUUGGCACGGUCACACGUGAGGGACGGGG